UCAUCUUUAGCUUCUUCUUCUUCUUCUUCUUCGUGUGAUUAAUGGCGGUUGGCAAGCAACUUAUAGGGAAGAGUUACCUGGGGUCUCCAGUGCUGCUCAGAAGCUUAUCUGAGCUGGAAUUCUGGUCUCCCAAGGAGGUAAGUCCAUCACCCACUCAGUAGGACCAGGAUGUAGUUGCAUGUCCCUGAGUAUCUGCACAUGUGCAUAUGGCUGUAUGGUACUCACGGUCUGCAAUUUAACCCAAUAGUCAUUCUGUUGUUUCAAAUCCAGUGUAUAUAACAUUCUUAGAUUCUUAAAACACAAAAUGUAGAACUCUGGACUGAAAAUGAACAUAUAUAUUCCAUUAUCUUUCAAGUAUUACAUUAUCAGUUUUGAAAAAAAAAGACCCUCCUGAGAAUGUAAUAAAUUCCCAAUAAUGUAAUAAGGUAUUACAUUAUCGGUAAAAAUGUUAUUACAAUAUCAGUCAGGAUAUUUUAUUACAUUAUUGGUGAAGUUAUUAUAUUAUUGGGUUUUAUUACAUUUUCGAUCGAGUUACGUACACAUUUUAUUACAUUUUCAGGCGUUAUUACAUUUUCAGGAAAUUAUUACAUUAUAGGGUGCUACACCUCGUCAUCUGCAAACAGCAACACUCCUACUCUCGACGUUGUAUCUACAUUAUGUUGGAUAUUGAAUAUUUGAUAGGGUGAAGGAAAAUGUAAAUAGUACAUUUAUUGAACGCACACCCGUUCCUACUAACAGUUGCAUAAAGUACUAGUUUGCAUAAUAAGAGAAACAAGUGCAGAGGAACAUGGCUGCUUGAGUAGAAAAUAUCAGUAGAUGCACCAGAGAUGACCUUUCGAUAGCAGAUGCACCAGACAUGACCUUGUGACAAUGUGCAGGUGAAAGGAAACAAAGAGCGUCUCGUGAAAUGUGUGUAGCAGAAGCGACUCACUCACAGCGGCCUUGUGGGCAGCUGUGUUUCCUGUUCUUAUAUGUGUUUCAGAGAAAAGGGGAGCUGGAGCAGCAGAUAAGAACGGAGUCAGCAGAAAGGAACGAGGUCUCCCCAGCAACACCAAUGGCAAUGCUUGCGUCACAAAUAACUGUAUACGCUUAAAAAGACUGGGUCAGGAAGAGAUAGGUUGUCAGACUUCGUGCCCUGACUCGCUGAUGUUGUUGGUUAGGGCAAGAAGAAAUAGACCCAGAGCUCUGUACAUCGCGAUCUGAGAAAUAAAGAAGAGUUAAGUUGAAGUCA